rnacentral:lncRNA from 1 species
AAGAUUGGCAUUAAGAUCAAAGAAAAAGGCUAGCCGACAACCAAGCACAUUUUUGAGGUUAUUGUCUAUUUAGUAAUUCCAAUCAUUUUUAAUUUUUUUUUUCAUAUUUUUUAUCAAGUUGAUUGUUAAGAGGUGUGUAAAAUUUGAAUUAAAAUCAAUAGUUUUUUCAUUAGUUAUUAAGGUUUAAAUCUACUAUAAGAAUUACUUAGGAUUGGUUAGGAUUUGGUUUAGGAUUUAGUUUAGAGUUUGAUUUAGGGUUAUGAUUAGGAUUAGGAUUUUGAAUUAAUUUAAGAUUUGAUUAGAAUUAAGAUUUUUUUUAAAUUUGAUUAGGAUUUGAUUAGGAUUUGACUUGGAUUUUACUAGAAUUUGGUUAGGAUUUAUUUAAGAUUUGAUUAAGAUUGGAUUAGAAUUAGGAUUUGGUUUGGAUUUUUAUAGGGUUUCUUUAGGAUUUCUUUAGGUUUCUUUAGAAUUUCUUUAUAAUUCUUUUAUAAUUUUUUUCAAAAAUUAAAAAUAAUAAUAUUAAUAAUAAUAAUAAUAAUAAUAAUAAUAAUAAUAAUUAGAUUUAAUUGAUUCUUGAUUAUGAUUAUUAAGCUUUUAUAGUAAUUUAUAUAUGAUUUUAUUAGAGUGGUUAGGACUUGUUGUUGCAAAUUUCUUUUAUCUUCUACAGCCAUGUGCCUAGUGCAUUCUCAAGCAAGAUUUCACGUAAUACAAAAAUAUUUAUUAAUAUCAUAUCUAUGAUAAUGAAUAGGAUAUUUUAAUCUAUUUUUGCA